rnacentral:rRNA from 1 species
GAUGAACGCUGGCGGCGUGCCUAAUACAUGCAAGUCGAGCGAACGGACGAGAAGCUUGCUUCUCUGAUGUUAGCGGCGGACGGGUGAGUAACACGUGGAUAACCUACCUAUAAGACUGGGAUAACUUCGGGAAACCGUAGCUAAUACCGGAUAAUAUUUUGAACCGCAUGGUUCAAAAGUGAAAGACGGUCUUGCUGUCACUUAUAGAUGGAUCCGCGCUGCAUUAGCUAGUUGGUAAGGUAACGGCUUACCAAGGCAACGAUGCAUAGCCGACCUGAGAGGGUGAUCGGCCACACUGGAACUGAGACACGGUCCAGACUCCUACGGGAGGCAGCAGUAGGGAAUCUUCCGCAAUGGGCGAAAGCCUGACGGAGCAACGCCGCGUGAGUGAUGAAGGUCUUCGGAUCGUAAAACUCUGUUAUUAGGGAAGAACAUAUGUCUAAGUAACUGUGCACAUCUUGACGGUACCUAAUCAGAAAGCCACGGCUAACUACGUG